GACGAACGCUGGCGGCGUGCUUAACACAUGCAAGUCGAACGGAAAGGCCCCUUUGGGGGUACUCGAGUGGCGCACGGGUGAGUAACACGUGAGUAACCUGCCCUUGACUUCGGGAUAACUUCAGGAAACUGGGGCUAAUACCGGAUAGGAAUCCUUGCUGCAUGGUGGGGGUUGGAAAGCUUCGGCGGUUUUGGAUGGACUCGCGGCUUACCAGCUUGUUGGUGGGGUAGUGGCUUACCAAGGCUUUGACGGGUAGCCGGCCUGAGAGGGCGACCGGCCACAUUGGGACUGAGAUACGGCCCAGACUCCUACGGGAGGCAGCAGUGGGGAAUAUUGCACAAUGGGCGGAAGCCUGAUGCAGCAACGCCGCGUGCGGGAUGACGGCCUUCGGGUUGUAAACCGCUUUCAGCAGGGGCGAAGCUUGUGGUGACGGUACCUGCAGAAGAAGCACCGGCUAACUACGU
rnacentral:rRNA from 1 species